rnacentral:rRNA from 2 species
UUUGUGCCGAUAAUUCAACGGGACUAAAACACAAUACCGAAGCUACGGGCAGAAAUGCGUUAGGAGAGCGUUGUAAGGGCUUAGAAGCCAGACCGUGAGGACUGGUGGAGCGCUUACAAGUGAGAAUGCCGGUAUGAGUAACGAUUCAGAGUGAGAAUCUCUGACGCCUAUUGGGGAAGGUUUCCUGGGCAAGGUUCGUCCACCCAGGGUUAGUCGGGUCCUAAGACGAGGCCGAAAGGCGUAGCCGAUGGACAACAGGUUAAUAUUCCUGUACUUUCUUAACAUGUGAUGGAGUGACGGGGAAGGAUAAUUUUACCACUAAUUGGAUUGUGGGGUAAGUAACAACUGGGUUAUGUAGGCAAAUCCGCAU